rnacentral:rRNA from 1 species
AUUGAACGCUGGCGGCAGGCCUAACACAUGCAAGUCGAACGGUAACAGGAAGAAGCUUGCUUCUUUGCUGACGAGUGGCGGACGGGUGAGUAAUGUCUGGGAAACUGCCUGAUGGAGGGGGAUAACUACUGGAAACGGUAGCUAAUACCGCAUAACGUCGCAAGACCAAAGAGGGGGACCUUCGGGCCUCUCGCCAUCGGAUGUGCCCAGAUGGGAUUAGCUAGUAGGUGGGGUAACGGCUCACCUAGGCGACGAUCCCUCGCUGGUCUGAGAGAAUGACCAGCCACACUGGAUCUGAGACACGGUCCAGACUCCUACGGGAGGCAGCAGUGGGGAAUAUUGCGCAAUGGGCGCAAGCCUGAUGCAGCCAUGCCGCGUGUAUGAAGAAGGCCUUCGGGUUGUAAAGUACUUUCAGCGGGGAGGAAGGGAGUAAAGUUAAUACCUUUGCUCAUUGACGUUACCCGCAGAAGAAGCACCGGCUAACUCCGUG